rnacentral:rRNA from 1 species
AUUGAACGCUGGCGGCAGGCAUAACACAUGCAAGUCGAACGAGUGGCGGACGGGUGAGUAAUGUCUGGGAUACUGCCUGAUGGAGGGGGAUAACUACUGGAAACGGUAGAUAAUACCGCAUACCAUCAGAUGUGCCCAGAUGGGAUUAGCUAGUUGGUGGGGUAACGGCUCAACAAGGCGAAGAUCCCUAGCUGGUCUGAGAGGAUGACCGGCCACACUGUGACUGAGACACGGUCCAUACUCCUACGGGAGGAAGCAGUGGGGAAUAUUGCACAAUGGGCGCAAGCCUGAUGCAGCCAUUCCGCGUGUGUGAAGAAGGCCUUCGGGUUGUAAAGUACUUUCAGCGGGGAGGCGUUACCCGCAGAAGAAGCACCGGCUAACUCCGUGCCAGCAGCCGCGGUAAUUC